GACGAACGCUGGCGGCGUGCUUAACACACGCAAGUCGAACGGAAAGGCCCUGCUUUUGUGGGGUGCUCGAGUGGCGAACGGGUGAGUAACACGUGAGUAACCUGCCCUUGACUUUGGGAUAACUUCAGGAAACUGGGGCUAAUACAGGAUAGGAGCUCCUGCUGCAUGGUGGGGGUUGGAAAGUUUCGGCGGUUGGGGAUGGACUCGCGGCUUAUCAGCUUGUUGGUGGGGUAGUGGCUUACCAAGGCUUUGACGGGUAGCCGGCCUGAGAGGGUGACCGGCCACAUUGGGACUGAGAGACGGCCCAGACUCCUACGGGAGGCAGCAGUGGGGAAUAUUGCACAAUGGGCGGAAGCCUGAUGCAGCAACGCCGCGUGCGGGAUGACGGCCUUCGGGUUGUAAACCGCUUUCGCCUGUGACGAAGCGUGAGUGACGGUAAUGGGUAAAGAAGCACCGGCUAACUACGUG
rnacentral:rRNA from 1 species